UGUACAUGUACAGUAGAAGACAAUAAAAACUUCGCGUUCCGUUUACGUUGAACGGCGAUUAAACGGUAGCGCCGUUUCCGUUUUUAUUGUGGUUGUUCCGUUCAUGGUCCGUUGGGUCUGGGCACUGCCGUUUUUAUUUCCAUGAACAACGCUCCAAGCGUUGCUCGACUUUUCUCUUUUCUGACAGUUUCUUCAGGAGUCAGGCUUCCUUAGAUACACUUACAAAACGACUAUGAGCCAUGGUUGAUGAUAAAACCAGACAGGACGACAAGAAGUAGUCACAAGAAAGAGUGCUCUGUCAAGCAAAGAAGCAGCUAUUAUAUUAUUAUCAUUUAUAAAAUAAAAUCAUGUAAUUAUAGACCUGCUAGUACCAAGAUCAAAAUGCAUGACGCUUGAAUCUUUCAUAAAAUAAAAAAUAUAUAAUAUAUAAUACAAGUUUUUGAAACUAAGAGUAGAAUAAUGAUAGAAAUAUAGUAAUGAUACUGAUAACUAAUGCUUAUCACAAUACAUUGAGACUACACCGAGCCUGGUGGCCCGUCUUCCAACGAGACGAGUACUUCACACCUCGACUCACACAGCGUCUCUUUGAGUUGAGGUCCACACUGAACUGAUAUGACAGUAGUAUCUCCAGAGCGGCAGUCGAGAACGAGCAUGUAGUAUCUGUGGAGUAGAGAAAACCAAGGAGGCAAGGACAAAACGUUGAGCCAACGUAAAAACGUGCUCCAUGGAAAAA